UACGUAGGGUGCGAGCGUUAGUCGGAAUUACUGGGCGUAAAGUGUGCGCAGGCGGCCGCGCAAGUCGAGUGUGAAAUCCCCGAGCUUAACUUGGGAAUUGCGCUCGAAGCUACGUGGCUGGAGUGUGGCAGAGGAAGGUGGAAUUCCACGUGUAGCGGUGAAAUGCGUAGAUAUGUGGAGGAACACCGAUGGCGAAGGCAGCCUUCUGGGCCAACACUGACGCUCAUGCACGAAAGCGUGGGGAGCAAACAGG
rnacentral:rRNA from 1 species